UCGCUUAUCGCCAGGACCGGGCGCAGCGACCUUGCAUCCCACGUGCGUAGGGAGCGAAUCGUUUAGGGCGCGUUGAAUGUCUGACGGUGUCUGGGCCACGCCGACCGCGCUUUAUUCUAGUGUUUAUUCUAAUCUGGUGGUGUAAGACCCGUAUUUCUGAACAAUUCGGUGGUGCUGACGUUCGCAAUAUUCACGUGGCUUAGCGCCUCGGCAACGCAGUUUGCGAGCCGGCGCUGUGUAGCAACGUCGCCGUGUCCGCCCUUUUCGCCAGCGUCAUCACAUCGCACAUGCACAUGGACGUCGAAGGCGGAGGUAUUGUACGUGUUCCUGGAGGCCACGACUUAUGUCACAUGCUGCUCAAGAAUGCACAUCGACUUCUUCAGAAGGUUCAGAAGAGGUCUUCUUCAGAAGGUUGGCGUAAAGCCAGCAAUUUUAAUGCAGCCAGUCUGUCUGUACGACCACUUGGUGCAAACUUUCAUUUUUGUGUUACACACACACUCAAUACAAUAACUGUAAUAAAGGAUUUGAAAAAUACA